UCGCUAUAUUUGGAUUAAAAAUAAUAUAAUAAUGGCGACCAGUUUUUUCAGUGUCUAACAGUCGUAUCAUGUUUUUCAUGGGUGUCAUAUAACAAAUUUUACCAAUUAAAUUUCAUCAUUUAUGGAUGCACCCAUUCUUAGGUCUAGCUUCCGCUGGUAAAAACAAUAUUUUAAUAGCAAAAUUUCUAAGUAUAUUUAACAGAACUUUCCAUCUCUUUUAGGUUGGAGUCCAACCAAACGAUUUUAGAUAAAAAAAAAAAGUGAGCGAAGCAAGCUGAACUAAUCUAAACAAUAAAUUAGAGGAGUGGAGUGGGGUUUGUAAUUCUAUAGCUAUACAGCUUUAUUUCAGACUACACUUUAAAAGUUAGAUUUAUUAAUUGAAGCCCUGAAACUCAAAAUUGUGACGUUGCGAGCAAGUUUGAGAUACUUGAGCGUAUUGCUCUAUUUUAAAGGUUAUCCUUCAUGCAAUCAUGCUACCCCUCUUAUCGGCAGAAAGCGACCGGAAAACGAUGGACAAAGGGCUUUUCUUUGACGGCACUUGACCAUAAAAAUACAUAAUACUUUCAAAGGAAUACCUUGUGUGUGUAGCUUACUCCAGGACAACCUAAUUAAUCUAGGAGCCGGACGAAUAUUAAUGGUCGGCAUGACGAUAUUAUCGAGCUGCAAAAUAGAAACAACAGUAAUUUGUCACAUUGUUGGAAAAAGCAUCAACUGAAGUUCUGAUUGGCUAGAUCAGUAAGAUAUGAAUAUUAAAGUGCACAGUCGGUAUUCAAACUUGUCCGUCGGUGCUAUGUACUCUGAAAAUAUAUAAGAAUUUAUUAAAGUGUGUUAUUCUGAUUUAUGUUGCUAUGACCCCUAUAGGAUCAUUUGUAGCUUAAUGUGGCAUGCCACAUGAACAAUGAGAUGGCAUCAUCACCAACUCUAUAAUGACUACCUUGAAAACAAAAUUUCUUUCCUCCACUUCCUUUUCUUCUUCCAUCUCUUUUUUCUUCCUUUUAUCUUUUAAGUGUUGAUGCUACAUCAACAUCUAUGUAAUAUGCCACGUAGAAUCCAAAAAGGUUUGUAGAUUUGUGAUAAUUUAGGAUCAUUAUACCAUAUUUUGAUAGUAUGAGAACUUAGAUGACAUAUAUGAACAAGUUCAAUAACUACCAUACAUUUUACUUUGAAUAAUACUUAUACAUUUGAGUUGUCACGGUAUAACAUAAAUACCAUGAUAUAUUAUUGUAAAGGACUUCCCUCAUCUACAAAUAUAAGUAUUCCAAAUGUUCAAAAUUUAUCUAUCUCUAUUAUUAUAAAAAAUUGAAGAUGUUUUUACCGGUAUUUUGGUACGUCAUCCAUGUAUAAGUCGGUUAUUAAGUUCGUUUGCUUUUGGAAAUACAUAUUCGUAUUUGAGUCGGUUUUUAAGAUCGUUCACUUUUGGUAAUACAGAAGGAAUCAUAUAAGAAAUAUGUUUAAAAAAACUCACAUGCUAACUUGAGACGAUCGGACUCCUAACUGCAUCUCAUGGUUUUCUAUCUCUACUAUUAUAAAAAUUGAAGAUGUUUUUACUGGUAUUUUGGUACGUCAUCCGUGUAUAAGUCGGUUAUUAAGUUUGUUUUCUUUUGGAAAUACAUAUUCGUAUUUGAGUCGGUUUUUAAGAUCGUUCACUUUUGGUAAUACAGAAGGAAUCAUAUAAGAAAUAUGUUUAAAAAAACUCGCAUGCUAACUUGAGACGAUCGGACUCCUAACUGCAGCUCAUGAUUUUCUAAAAAUAUAUAUAUCCAAAAGAACUCCCACAGUAAAUUUUAUCUUAACUAUACAAUAAAAGAAUAAUAAGAUUAAAAUAGACUUGACUCGUUGCAACGUACGGGCUUUUUUUCUAGUAAUCAUAAACAUUCAAAAAUACUACGUGUCACGUCAAAUUUCUUUCUGUAUUACUCCAACCGUACUUCCAGAGUAUCUUAUUUUGUGAUAGCUAGGGCGUCUACUAUGAGUGUGUUUGAAGGAAGAUGAAAGAAGACGAUUGAUAAAAUAGGCAAAUUGAGGUAAGACACCAGCGUAUGAUUAAUUGAGUAUUAAUUAUUUUAAACUUAAAAAGUAGAUUAGUAUAAUUUUUAAAAGCAACUUUUCUAUAGAUUUUUUUUCAUGAAACACGGUGUUUAGCUAAACAGUUCGGAAAGCAUGUGCUUGGAAAACGACGAGUUUUCUUCCAUCGAACUCUCCUUAAAAUAACUUAAAUACUUAUAUUUAGGGAUAAAGAGAGUAAAAGGUAACUAGAAAUUCAAAAUGUAAAUGUUAAAGUAAGGUCCUAGCUAUCAUAGCUCUGAAUCGAUGAUUCUUGGAGAAUUAUAUGUCUAGACUAGAUUCACAAAUCCAUAUAUCUGAAUCUACGAUUAUGUUAAUAUUAUUUGGGAAAAUUAUACUAUUUCUAUUUUAAAUAAAAAUAUAAAUUUUAAAUCACUAUAAUUUUGAACACUACAAUUUAACAUAUGAACUUUUAAUCCGUGUGUUUUUUUUAAAAAAAGAAACAGUGCAUCUA
rnacentral:sRNA from 1 species